rnacentral:rRNA from 1 species
GGUUAAGCGACUAAGCGUACACGGUGGAUGCCCUGGCAGUCAGAGGCGAUGAAGGACGUGCUAAUCUGCGAUAAGCGUCGGUAAGGUGAUAUGAACCGUUAUAACCGGCGAUUUCCGAAUGGGGAAACCCAGUGUGAUUCGUCACACUAUCAUUAACUGAAUCCAUAGGUUAAUGAGGCGAACCGGGGGAACUGAAACAUCUAAGUACCCCGAGGAAAAGAAAUCAACCGAGAUUCCCCCAGUAGCGGCGAGCGAACGGGGAGCAGCCCAGAGCCUGAAUCAGUGUGUGUGUUAGUGGAAGCGUCUGGAAAGGCGCGCGAUACAGGGUGACAGCCCCGUACACAAAAAUGCACAUAUUGUGAGCUCGAUGAGUAGGGCGGGACACGUGGUAUCCUGUCUGAAUAUGGGGGGCCCAUCCUCCAAGGCUAAAUACUCCUGACUGACCGAUAGUGAACCAGUACCGUGAGGGAAAGGCGAAAAGAACCCCGGCGAGGGGAGUGAAAAAGAACCUGAAACCGUGUACGUACAAGCAGUGGGAGCACGCUUAGGCGUGUGACUGCGUACCUUUUGUAUAAUGGGUCAGCGACUUAUAUUCUGUAGCAAGGUUAACCGAAUAGGGGAGCCGAAGGGAAACCGAGUCUUAACUGGGCGUUAAGUUGCAGGGUAUAGACCCGAAACCCGGUGAUCUAGCCAUGGGCAGGUUGAAGGUUGGGUAACACUAACUGGAGGACCGAACCGACUAAUGUUGAAAAAUUAGCGGAUGACUUGUGGCUGGGGGUGAAAGGCCAAUCAAACCGGGAGAUAGCUGGUUCUCCCCGAAAGCUAUUUAGGUAGCGCCUCGUGAAUUCAUCUCCGGGGGUAGAGCACUGUUUCGGCAAGGGGGUCAUCCCGACUUACCAACCCGAUGCAAACUGCGAAUACCGGAGAAUGUUAUCACGGGAGACACACGGCGGGUGCUAACGUCCGUCGUGAAGAGGGAAACAACCCAGACCGCCAGCUAAGGUCCC